rnacentral:lncRNA from 1 species
AAGAGAUGCUAGGACCUGAGCUGUGCUUCCUUUUGGCAACGAUGACGGAAGGAAUCAGAAGCCUUUCUUGCACAAGCCUCGGUCAGUUCUAGUAGCUUUUCCUCUCUCCCCUCUUCUGUUUUCUGUUACUCCUACUUCUCUUCUCGCCCUGCUGUGAAGAGUGGACUGGAGCGAAGGCAACACUAACUAACUAGGUAAGGUAGCUAAUGGCGCUGUAGCAGCCCACACCACAUGGCUUGCACAAGCAAAAUGGACUUUCGGCCAGUGUCCCACGCACCACUUUUCCCCACUCGCACAAAAAGUAAUUGCUAGCUGCAGGCAAAAGCUGAAGCGAGCCCUUGAUAAAUUCUGUGUUGAGCCUGUAGCAAUGAUAUAAUCUCGUGGGUCUUGAGGUGUUUGUAGUUGUAGGUGCCCAGAUAUGAAAGUAUCAUAGGAGUAUACGAGUAUAAAGAGAUUGGUUUUGCAUUGAGGGUGAUUGAUAUCUACCGUUUUGUUUGUUCUGUUCUGCUAGUGAGAGCCCAAAAAGGGCUCCAUCUUGUCAAGUAGUAAUAUUGAGAUGGUGAUGGCAUGGAGAUUUUCUUAGCUACGGAUAGAGUUGUCCACCAACAUCUAACCAUGGCAUAUCAGGUUUUUGUCGAUUUGUUUACAAGAGUGCAAAAACAAUUGAGAGUGCUUGCCAUUUCCAAUACGUAUCUUCUCAGUUUUCAGUUCAAUUGAGAGUGGAUUACUUCAGUAAUUGAUUAUGGCUAAUUUAGUUCAGAAAUGGAUUAGGGCGAGAAGAGUUGGUCCAACAUAAAUGAGUGGUGGACCUAGCAAUUUCAGUGGCGUAUAAAGUCACUUGCCUGGGGUGCACUGCACUAGAGCCUGCAGGAGUACAAAGAUGGAAAAUGGAUAUGCAUAUUUCCGCAAUUAAACUAACCUCCCUUGUGUUCUACGGAAGGGUGCUAUGAUGUGGAUUGCGAUGCUGGGUUUGGAUAUCUUAUCAGCGAGUCGAUAGAAUUAGAUGGAUUGUUUUCUUACACACAUCUAACCUCAAUCUGGUUGGUCCUCCCCGCCAAAUCUUCAUUGUUAUUUAAGACCGAAUCAGCAACUGAAUUGUCUAGCACAUCUUGACUUGCAAACCUACUCUACUCAUGCCAUGUGUGUUGCGUCUGAUACUUUGCUGUAUUGGAUAAUGUGUUCUUUUCUCUUGAAGAUAAAGAAGAUGAAGAUUAAGUUUUUUUACGUAAAAUGAGGUGGUAUUAACGUAUGAUUGAUUGGGUUUUAAUUAUUACAAAUUUGAAAAAUAGAUUAAUAUGAUAUUUUAGAGCAACUUUCAUAUAGAAAAUUUUUGCACAAAACACACCGUUUAGCAGUUUAAAAAACAUAUUUUGAAAAUCUUAAUUUUCUUCCAACUCUUAUUCUCUUCUAUCUGAUCAUUUGGUCUUACCCAGAUGCAAUACUAUAGUAGUACUAGUAUAUGAGUAUUCAUGUCUUAAAAUGAUGUCUCCAGAAGGAAACACGUGCGGUGCUUAAUUUCUUCAAAUUUUACACUAUGCACGACCAGGGUUAUUGGCCGCUAAUUAAAUUGCAGCCCUGAUUGCCUGAAGGACACUGAGUAGCCAAAGACAAGUGAGCCCAACGAAUCGCCCGUGGCUCAUUAUCAAUUUAUCAGCAAUUGCUAAACUGCUAAUUACAAGUAUGUGCCUUCACAUUCUGCGAGUCAGUGAUUUGCUUUAAUAAUCUCUUGCAAAGUUAAUGCACCUUAAUCCUUAGGCCUUACUUGGCAGUUGUAAUAAUGAUAAAAGAAGGCGUGGGCUUUGAUCCUCAGAAAUGUGUCGGCGAGGCCUGUCCAUUCUCCCAUCUGAUCUAACCUCCCUUUUUCUUAAGAAGGGGUUUUUUUUUUACCCGGCCUCUAAAUCCAACCGGAUAUAUGCAACACUUUUAAGCUAGAAACUUGGCCUAUCAAAUAUAGAAUUUAGUCCUCAAAUAAUCCAAUCUGAAAUUCGCUCCUAUGAAGAUUUGAACUCAGAACCUUGGGGUACUACUCAGGUCACUGUAACUACUAGGCUGCAUGUCCAUUCUCCCAUCUGAUCUAACCUCCCUACCAGCCAUAGCCACCCCUCCCUCCAUCAUUGCUUCAUCUUUCUUGUUAAACCUGGCCAGGCAAAUUGGUUGGAAAACCUAAUAACUAGGUUUGGCAAGAUAUCUAAUCAAACAAGAUAGUGCUGCUCGCUCUGUAAAAUUUAAAGAGGCAACUCCAAUAAAAAUCCCUUUGCUUAUUAUUCCUGAUGCACACAUACCGGUUAUUAGACUAGUGAUGAUGAAGUACGCUAGUACUGUCCAACGAACUUUUCCUGACACAACAAACACUGUGUCGCUGUAUUAUACUCCUAACCUUUUUUUUUGUUUUGUAUAGAGUUGUCAUGUGUCUCAUUAACUUCAGUUUACAAGUGGGGAGGACAAACAUACUUCAGUGAGAUGCUAUACUAAUGAAGACGUCAGUGUAGCGACAUCAUUUCAUUAACAGGGAGACUCUGUCCAAGUACUAAACAACAGAAUAGUCGUACCGAUGAGCAUUUUAGAGGAGAUGAUGGUGCAAC